GUUUGUUUAUAUUUUUAAUAAUUACUUAAGUUCUAACUGGCUGCUAAAAUUGUGUAAUGCAAGUUGAAUUAGUUAUAUGUUUCAAUUAAAUAAUAAUUUGUAUAGUGAUUCAGUAAAAAAAAAAAAAAAAAAAUGGAUAUUAGAGUAUAGAGACUGUCAGACUGGGUUUUGUUACUUGUUUCGUUAGCCUUGGUAUUAGUAUUGUAUUUAUAUUACAUUCCCAACAAUGAUAAGUCAAUAAUUUUCAAACAAUUAUGAAUAGAACUUGAUUUUCCUAAAAAUAGUGAUUACCUAUAGCAUAGUUUUCUAAUGAUUUUAUUAAAUUUGACCCCCUCCCAACUACUCAGUUUAAGCUGACAAUUUGAAAACUUUGAUAAUAAUAUAAUGUGAAGCA